AUUGAACGCUGGCGGCAGGCUUAACACAUGCAAGUCGAGCGAGCGGCGGACGGGUGAGUAAUGUCUGGGAACGUGUCUGAUGGAGGGGGAUAACUACUGGAAACGGUAGCUAAUACCGCAUACCAUCAGAUGGGCCCAGAUGGGAUUAGCUAGUAGGUGGGGUAAUGGCUCACCUAGGCGACGAGCCCUAGCUGGUCUGAGAGGAUGACCAGCAACACUGGAACUGAGACACGGUCCAGACUCCUACGGGAGGCAGCAGUGGGGAAUAUUGCACAAUGGGCGCAAGCCUGAUGCAGCCAUGCCGCGUGUGUGAAGAAGGCCUUCGGGUUGUAAAGCACUUUCAGCGAGGAGGCGGUACCCGCAGAAUAAGCACCGGCUAACUCCGUGCCAGCAGCCGCGGUAAUAC
rnacentral:rRNA from 1 species